rnacentral:tRNA from 2 species
GUUUACGUAGCUUACUUAAAGCAUAACACUGAAGAUGUUAAGAUGAGCCCUAGAAAGCUCCGCGAACA